rnacentral:rRNA from 1 species
AAUACCCUAUUAUUUUAAAAGUAAUUAAUAAAAUCUAAUUAGUAAUAGUUAAGUUCUUGAAAAUUAAAGAAUUUGGCGGUAUUUUAGUCUAUUCAGAGGAAUCUGUCCUAUAAUUGAUAAUCCACGAUUUUUUAUACCUAAUUUAUUAAUUUACAUAUCGCCGUAGUUUGAAUAUUUUUUGAAAAUUAUAAUAUUCAUAAUUUAUUUUUAUGAAAAAAUUCAGGUCAAGGUGUAGUUUAUGAUUAGGGAGAGAUGGGUUACAAUAAAAAUAUUUAUUAUGGAUUAAUUAAUUAAAUUUUUUUAUGAAGGUGGAUUUGAAAGUAAUUUUAUUUA